UGGGGGAUAUUGCACAAUGGGCGAAAGCCUGAUGCAGCGACGCCGCGUGGGGGAUGAAGGCCUUCGGGUUGUAAACUUCUUUUGCUCUGAACAAGGCGCACCAUGGGGUGUGUUGAGUGUAGGGGUUGAUUAGCGCCGGCUAACUACGUGCCAGCAGCCGCGGUAAUACGUAGGGCGCGAGCGUUGUCCGGAAUUAUUGGGCGUAAAGGGCUUGUAGGUGGCUGGUUGCGUCUGUCGUGAAAGCUCAUGGCUUAACUGUGGGUUUGCCGUGGGUACUGGCUGGCUUGGGUGCAGUAGGGGAGGCUGGAAUUCCUGGUGUAGCGGUGGAAUGCGCAGAUAUCAGGAGGUAUACCGGUGGAGAAGGCGGGUCUCUGGGCUGUUACUGACACUGAGGAGCGAAAGCAUCGGGAGCGAACAGG
rnacentral:rRNA from 1 species